CGUCAAAUCCAAUUGCUAUCAAUUAGCUGGUACCCAUUAAUCGUCUGACUUUUCGAGUUCCUAUACCAGUGUUUCAAACGAUAGCAAGUUUCAAGAAAUCUUUCAUUUCUGCUAUCCUUAUCUCUUCAAUCUGAGUUUCUCGACAAUCUCUCCUCUCGUUUGCGCUGAAGACGAAUGAAAUCUACUCCCUCUAGGUAUUUUUCCUCUCCCUUUCUUAAAGCUUCUACUGCAGGUUCAUGGGCAUAACUAUUUCCUGAUCUUUGAACAAACUGGAAGUUGAUUUUUUGGAAGAAAUGUUUUUUCCUUUGAAUGUCUCGGAUGAUCGCCCUUAUAACUGACUUGUCUGUUGCUAUUGAGUUGCAUUUUUUUAUGACUGUUUUUGAAUCCCCUAAGAUAUCUACUGAAUGAAAACCCAUUGAAAUCCCUAACUUCACUGCUUGUAAUCCUGCAUGUGCCUCUGCCAUGAACGGGGAAGAUAUUGUAGAGUGUAGUACUGUUUUCGAAACUAAAAACUCACCCAUCUCCCCCCACACCACCAGGCCCGAGGCUGAUCUUGAGUAUUUACUAUUGAACGCUGCAUCAAAAUAAAUAACUACUCUCGUAUUUCUUUCAAUUUGUCUCUGUCUUCUAUCAUCAUCUAAGAUGAGUGGUUUUUCUUCCACCCAUCGAUCUCUGCUAUAUAAAUCUGGAUAGUGUUUGAUAAGUCUCUUCCUGUUGUUAUUUUCCCCUCAUGAACUAACUGGUUUCCUGAACUUCAGAUUGUCCAGACAGCACAGCAAAAGAGACGAUAUUGUUUACUGUUACCCAUGGUCAAGACCCAAGUAGCCAUUACCACAGAUCUUGAAUAUUAGUAUUAAUGAGCCAUGAUAAGCUUAGAUUUUGCCAUGUUUCUGUUGUUGUAGGACAUUUUCUGAAAACAUGGUUGCUAUCUUCUUCCACAUUUCGACACCGAGAAUAGGAGCUAUCCGUAGCCACUCUUCUUAUUUUGAGAUUUUUUAGAGUAGGAAUAAAGUUCCAUGAAAUACGCCAAAUAGUGAUGGCAAUUUUUGAUGGGAAAUGUAAAUUCCAUAGCUUUUUGUAGAAAUUUUUUCUUUCAGUUUGUAUUAAAUAAUCACUAGGGUUCAUUUUGCCUCUUGUAAUAGUUUGUAGGCACUUCUGGAUGAAAAUUCACCAGAAUGUUCUCCUCACCAGACUUGAAAAUCAUCAUGUUCUUCUUUUGCUAGAGGAAUUUGCAGAAUCUUCUGUGCAAUGUCCGCUUGAAAGGUAUUAUCAAUUAGAUCAGCCUUCUAUUUUCUUGUUGAUACAUCAAUUAAGUCCGAAACUAACUCUAUUUUUGCAUUGUUGGUACUGUCAUUAAUCCUAUCAAUGUCGACUCCUGGUAUCCAUCAAUCGCUCUAAACAGAAAUAUGGUCUCCUCUACUGACUUGCUAACAUAAGCCAUCUUUCAGUAACCCUUUUGCUGUCCAAAUGCUCUUCUAGGAAAGUGAAGGUAAAUUCCCUAACUGUGCAUGGAUGAAGUCUAAAUGUAAUAUCCCGAAUUAGGGCCUAAUCAGAAUAGUGGUUUCGUGACCACAAAUACGAGAUAGAAAUAAUUAUUUUAUAAUUAUUUUAAGAUUUAUGAUAUGAUUGCAUGAUUGUGUGAAAGUUUCGUGACAAAAUUCUAUGCAUAAAGUGCUUAAGUUGAAAUUAAGGACUAAAUCGAAUAAUUUGUAAAACUUGCAUUCGAGAAGUUUUUAGUAUGAAAUUGCUUUAGAAUAUUAAUGAUGAGGUCUUAAAUAGAAAUUUGACAAAUUUUUAAAAUUUUGGACAAAAAUGGGCUUGUACAUGAAAAUUUUCGAAGAAAGGUAUUAAGGGUAUUUUGGUCAUUUGGUAAUUAAAAUUAAUUAAAAGGGAAAUUAAGGCCAAAAUGUGUUCAUCUUCUUCUUACCUUGGCCGAACCUUACCUUUCUCCAUAGCUAGGGUUUCUUUAACUUCGAAGCUUCAUAGCAAGUGAUUUCAAGUCCCGUUUUUAAUUAUUUUUAUGUUUUUUGAAUCCCGGUAGCUCGAUUUAGUUUAUGCUAGCAAUAAUUUAACCUAGGAUUUAUAUUUGGAAAAAUACUCAGAGUUGAAAUUUGUGUAUUUUGGUGUUUUAUGAUAGAAUAUGAAGUUUUAAAUUAUGUUACACAACUUGUGCUACUCGGUUUUAAGUGAAAACGAGAAAAAUGGCUUAAUCGGUAAAAAUACAUAAUAUUCAUAAGUACAUGUUAGAAUGUGAAUUUGAUGUUGCUAUAUAAGGGAAAAAUGAUCAGCAUGUCAUAAAACAUAAUAAAAUAGGAUGAGGUUUAAUUUAUGAGCCUUGGGGUAAAAAUGUAAAUAUGUGAAAGUUUAGGGGUAAAAUGGUAAUUUUGUCAAAGUUCGUACUAGGGGUUGUUUUAAUGAAUGUAUGAAUUAAAUAAAUUAAUUUGGUAUAUAGAUAAAGAGAAAUAAGAUUCAAGUCGUGAUCGAGGGAAAAAUAAAGUUUACGAGGAAUAGGCUCGAUUGUUAAAAUUUUGUAUCGAGGUAAGUUCAUGUGUAAAUAAAGUAAUAUAAUUUAUAUUUUAAGUGAUUUAAUGUUAUUUAUAUGAUAUGAUAUUUAUUACCAUGAAAUAUUAUGCUUUGUGAAUUAUUGUUUGAUAAUAUGCAAAUUAUAUGAACAACUUGAUAAGUAUGAGAUACUAGCAAAUAUCGAUUUCUAUAUUUCGAAGAAGGCGAUCAAAAUGUGUAAUUGAGAAAAAUCUCGUUUGAACCUUGGGAGUAGAUUAGGGUACAAGUGACUCGUUGAGUUGAGUUCGAGUUCACUUAUUGAUGCUAACGCCCGAGCUCAUUGAGUUGAGUCCGAGUUCAUUUAUGGGCGGGUUACAUGGUAGCUUGACUACAUAGAUUUCAGAAGCUAUUGAGUUUGUUUAGCUAUGAGUAUAGCACUUAUGUGCACACUAUCCGCGUAUUCGAAAUUAUAUUCCAAUGUGUUCAACAGGAGAAUCAUAAGAGAAUAGAGAGAGUACUUAAAACGAAAGUGAUUCGAUGAGGAACGUGUUGAAGAAGUGAAAAUGAACAUGUAUGAGUUUAAUCCUUGGUUGAGAAUUUGGUAAGACAAAAUUGUGAUAAGAUAAUAAGAAUUCUUAUGACAUGAGUGUCUUAAUGAUAUUUAUGUUGGAUUGCAUGAUCAUGUUACUUGUUAUUUGCAUGUGAACUUACUAAGCAUUUAUGCUUACUCCCUUCUUUUUAUUCAUUAUAGUUUUGACCAGCCGGCUUGAGAAUCGGGAUAGGUCGAAGGCUCGUUCAUACUAUCCGAAGCCCUAAAUUGGUAAAAUGGCUUGUAUAUUUUGAGUGUGGCAUGUAUAGCACUAUACUCACUUUGUGUAAAUGAUCUAAUGAUAUGGUUAUGGUUUGGUAAGAAAAGGGUUUGUAAAUGAUUAGCCAUUGAAAUGACCAAUCUAAAUCAUAUUUGAUGUCAUGUAUAUUUAAAAUGCUAUUUAGGCCAUAAAAAUCUAUAGUAAAGUAAAAUUUGCUAUAAAACAGAAUAUUGCUGUAGUAAUGACGUGAAUUUGAAAAAUCACUAAAAAUAGUAGAAACGGAAUUAAAUGAUGAAUAAAUUAUGGAAUAGAAGCUUGAUGAGUCUAUUUUCAUAUGAAGGAAACGAAAUAGGUAAAUGAGUUAUAUUUUAUAAGAUAUUUAAAUUUUUGUGAAAUAGAGCCAGAACGAUUUCUGAAUCGUUCUAAAUUUAGAAAUUCACUAAAAACUGU
rnacentral:lncRNA from 1 species